rnacentral:tRNA from 1 species
GGACAGGUAGCUCCAAUUGGCAGAGCGGCUGUCUUACACACAGUAGGUUGCGGGUUCGAAUCCCUCCCGGUCCA